CAGAGGUUUGGUCCCAGCCUUACUAUCAAUUAUUACUUAACUUACACAUGCAAGCAUCCACACACCAGUGAAAACCCCCAACAAACCAACAGGAAUAAGGAGCUGGUAUCAGGCAGGAGCCUACAACGCCUAGCCACGCCACACCCACACGGGCCUCAGCAGUGAUAAAUAUUGACCAUGAGCAACCACUCGAACCAGUUAAAGUAAACAGAGCCGGCAAACCACUGUGCCAGCCGCCGCGGUUACACUACUGACUCAAAUUGAUAGCAUCGGCGUUAAGAGUGAUUAAAGCACUAAAAAUUAGAACUGAACACUUACCAAGCUGUGACACGCUUGUUCCAAGAACCCCUUAAACGAAAGUCCCUCUAAUAUAAUCGCUUGACGCACGAUAGCUGAGAAACAAACUAGGAUUAGAUACCCUACUAUGCCCAGCCGUAAAACAUUAAUUUACGCCACCAUCCGCCAGAGGAAUACAAGCCCAGCUUGAAACUCAAAGGACUUGACGGUGCCCCACCCACCUAGAGGAGCCUGUUCUAUAAUCGAUAAUCCCCGAUUCACCUAACCUUUUCUAGCCACAGCCUGUUUCAGCCUGUUUCAGCCUGUAUACCUCCGUCGCAAGUUAACCCCAUGAAGGCAUAGUAGACUAAACAACCUCACACUAACACGGCAGGUCAAGGUGCAGCCCAUGAAAAGGUAAGCAAUUGGCUACAAUCUCUCUCAGAACAAACAGAAUCCUGCAUGAAACCCAGUAUAAAGGAGGAUUUAGCAGUAAAAAGAAACUAGAACGUUCUUUUUAACAAGGCAAUGGGACGCGUACACACCGCCCGUCGUCCUCUUCCACCCCCCCCCCCCCAAAAAAUAUGCCAAACAAAACAACAGAAGAGGCAAGUCGUAACACGGUAAGUGUACCGGAAGGUGCACUUGGCUAACG
rnacentral:ncRNA from 1 species